rnacentral:rRNA from 1 species
UACACUCCUGCGGGAGGCAGCAGUGGGGAAUUUUGGACAAUGGGCGAAAGCCUGAUCCAGCAAUGCCGCGUGCAGGAUGAAGGCCUUCGGGUUGUAAACUGCUUUUGUACGGAACGAAAAAGCUCCUUCUAAUACAGGGGGCCCAUGACGGUACCGUAAGAAUAAGCACCGGCUAACUACGUGCCAGCAGCCGCGGUAAUACGUAGGGUGCGAGCGUUAAUCGGAAUUACUGGGCGUAAAGCGUGCGCAGGCGGUUAUGUAAGACAGAUGUGAAAUCCCCGGGCUCAACCUGGGAACUGCAUUUGUGACUGCAUGGCUAGAGUACGGUAGAGGGGGAUGGAAUUCCGCGUGUAGCAGUGAAAUGCGUAGAUAUGCGGAGGAACACCGAUGGCGAAGGCAAUCCCCUGGACCUGUACUGACGCUCAUGCACGAAAGCGUGGGGAGCAAACAGGAUUAGAUACCCGAGUAGUCCC